rnacentral:rRNA from 1 species
AAUACGUUCCGGGCCUUGUACACACCGCCCGUCACACCACGAAAGUUGGUAACACCCGAAGCCGGUGGCCGAACCGUAAGGACGGAGCCGUCGAAGGUGGGACCAGCGAUUGGGGUG